UACGGAGGGUGCGAGCGUUGUCCGGAAUCACUGGGCGUAAAGGGCGCGUAGGUGGCGUCGCAAGUCAACGGUGAAAGCUCGACGCUCAACGUCGAGUCGGCCGUCGAGACUGCGAGGCUUGAGCACUGUAGAGGCAGAUGGAAUUCCGGGUGUAGCGGUGGAAUGCGUAGAGAUCCGGAAGAACACCGGUGGCGAAGGCGGGUCUGCU
rnacentral:rRNA from 1 species